rnacentral:rRNA from 1 species
CCUACGGGAGGCAGCAGUCGAGAAUCAUUCACAAUGGGGGAAACCCUGAUGGUGCGACGCCGCGUGGGGGAAUGAAGGUCUUCGGAUUGUAAACCCCUGUCAUGUGGGAGCAAAUUAAAAAGAUAGUACCACAAGAGGAAGAGACGACUAACUCUGUGCCAGCAGCCGCGGUAAUACCGAGGUCUCAAGCGUUGUUCGGAAUCACUGGGCGUAACGCGUGCGUAGGCUGUUUCGUAAGUCGUGUGUGAAAGGCGCGGGCUCAACCCGCGGACGGCAGAUGAUACUGGGAGACUAGAGUCAUGGAGGGGGAAGCGGAAUGCUAGGUGUAGCAGUGAAAUGCGUAGAUAUCGGGAGGAACACCAGUGGCGAAGGCGAGUUCCUGGACAUUAACUGACGCUGAGGCACGAAGGCGAGGGGAGCGAAAGGGAUUAGAUACCCGUGUAGUC